GACGAACGCUGGCGGCGUACUUAACACAUGCAAGUCGAACGGAAAGGCCCUGCUUGCAGGGUACUCGAGUGGCGAACGGGUGAGUAACACGUGGGUGAUCUGCCCUGCACUUCGGGAUAAGCCUGGGAAACUGGGUCUAAUACCGGAUAGGAGCCAUUUUUAGUGUGAUGGUUGGAAAGUUUUUUCGGUGUAGGAUGAGCUCGCGGCCUAUCAGCUUGUUGGUGGGGUAAUGGCCUACCAAGGCGGCGACGGGUAGCCGGCCUGGGAGGGUGGACGGCCACCUUGGGGCUGAGGUACGGCCCAGACUCCUACGGGAGGCAGCAGUGGGGAAUAUUGCACAAUGGGCGCAAGCCUGAUGCAGCGACGCCGCGUGGGGGAUGACGGCCUUCGGGUUGUAAAAUCCUUUCGCUAGGGACGAAGCUUUUUGUGACGGUACCUAGAUAAGAAGCACCGGCUAACUACGUG
rnacentral:rRNA from 1 species